GAUGAACGCUGGCGGCGUGCCUAAUACAUGCAAGUCGAGCGAACAGACGAGGAGCUUGCUCCUCUGACGUUAGCGGCGGACGGGUGAGUAACACGUGGAUAACCUACCUAUAAGACUGGGAUAACUUCGGGAAACCGGAGCUAAUACCGGAUAAUAUAUUGAACCGCAUGGUUCAAUAGUGAAAGACGGUUUUGCUGUCACUUAUAGAUGGAUCCGCGCCGCAUUAGCUAGUUGGUAAGGUAACGGCUUACCAAGGCGACGAUGCGUAGCCGACCUGAGAGGGUGAUCGGCCACACUAGAACUGAGACACGCUCCAGGCUCCUGCGGGAGGCAGCAGUAGGGAAUCUUCCGCAAUGGGCGAAAGCCUGACGGAGCAGCGCCGCGUGAGUGAUAAAGGUCUUCGGAGCGUAAAACUCUGUUAUUAGGGAAGAACAAAUGUGUAAGUAACUAUGCACGUCUUGACGGUACCUAAUCAGAAAGCCACGGCUAACUACGUG
rnacentral:rRNA from 1 species